CAGAUAUAUUGAUACGUGAUAGAGCUUGGAUUCGAUUUUUUGGAUCAGAAAUCCUCAGAAAACUUAUAUUUUGUCCCCCAAGGGUGGGGCAUUUGCGUCAAUGUAAGUCCCCAAGGGUGGGGAUUUUGUUGCAUUAUUUGGACCCCAUACUGGGGCAUUUGCAACGUUUUUUUCGCCAAAAUGACAAAAGCCCGACAAACGCCCGGAGGGGGGCGGGG